rnacentral:rRNA from 1 species
GACAGAGGGUGCAAACGUUGUUCGGAAUUACUGGGCGUAAAGCGAGUGUGGGCGGCUUGGCAAGUCGGAUGUGAAAGCCCCGGGCUCAACCCGGGAAGUGCACUCGAUACUGCUUAGCUUGAGUGUCGGAGAGGUUGGUGGAAUUCUCGGUGUAGAGGUGAAAUUCGUAGAUAUCGAGAGGAACAUCGGCGGCGAAGGCGGCCAACUGGACGAACACUGACGCUGAGACUCGAAAGCGUGGGGAGCAAACAGG